CAGUAGCCGCGGUAAAACGAAGGGGGCUAGCGUUGUUCGGAAUUACUGGGCGUAAAGCGCACGUAGGCGGAUAUUUAAGUCAGGGGUGAAAUCCCAGAGCUCAACUCUGGAACUGCCUUUGAUACUGGGUAUCUUGAGUAUGGAAGAGGUGAGUGGAAUUCCGAGUGUAGAGGUGAAAUUCGUAGAUAUUCGGAGGAACACCAGUGGCGAAGGCGGCUCACUGGUCCAUUACUGACGCUGAGGUGCGAAAGCGUGGGGAGCAAACAGGAUUAGAUACCCGCGUAGUCCCUGUCUUUUAUAC
rnacentral:rRNA from 1 species